CUUUCCACACGUGGAAAGGUUUAUCCCUGUACAAAAGAAGUUUACAACCCAUAGGGCCGUCGUCCUUCACGCGGGAUGGCUGGAUCAGGCUCUCACCCAUUGUCCAAUAUUCCUCACUGCUGCCUCCCGUAGGAGUCUGGUCCGUGUCUCAGUACCAGAUGUGGGGGAUCACCCUCUCAGGCCCCCUAAAGAUCACUGACUUGGUAGGCCGUUACCCUACCAAACUAUCUAAUCUGUGCGCGUGCCCAUCUCUAUCCACCGGAGUUUUCAAUUUUAAAUGAUGCCAUUCAAAAUAUUAUGGGGUAUUAAUCUUCCUUUCGAAAGGCUAUCCCCCACAUAAAGGUAGGUUGCACACGUGUUCCGCACCCGUGCGCCGCUCUCUUCGUUUUUCCGAAGAAA
rnacentral:rRNA from 1 species